rnacentral:rRNA from 1 species
AAUCGAGGCCCCGUAAUUGGAAUGAGUACACUUUAAAUCCUUUAACGAGGAUCAAUUGGAGGGCAAGUCUGGUGCCAGCAGCCGCGGUAAUUCCAGCUCCAAUAGCGUAUAUUAAAGUUGUUGCAGUUAAAAAGCUCGUAGUUGGAUCUCAGGAUUUGGAUGGAUGGUUCGCUUUCGGGCGCUACUAUCUGUCUGACCUACUCUAGUCGUGGAUGCCUUGGGUGCUCUUAAUUGAGUGCUUUUGGUGCCCGACGCAAUUACUUUGAAAAAAUUAGAGUGCUCAAAGCAGGCGUAUUGCCUGAAUAGUGUUGCAUGGAAUAAUGAAAUAGGAGUUUACUUCUAUUUUGUUGGUUUUCGGAGGUGAACUAAUGAUUAACAGGGACAGACGGGGGCAUUUGUAUGGAGGGGUUAGAGGUGAAAUUCUUGGAUCCUCUCCAGACAAACUACUGCGAAAGCAUUUGCCAGGAAUGUUUUCACUAAUCAAGAACGAAAGUCAGAGGUUCGAAGACGAUCAGAUACCGUCCUAGUUCUGACCAUAAAUGAUGCCAUCUAACAAUCCACGAAGUUUGCUUGUACGAACUCGUGGACGGUCCCCGGGAAACCAAAGAUUUUGGGUUCCGGGGGAAGUAUGGUUGCAAAGCUGAAACUUAAAGGAAUUGACGGAAGGGCACCACCAGGAGUGGAGCCUGCGGCUUAAUUUGACUUAACACGGGAAACCUCACCCGGCCCGGACACUUUUAGGAUUGACAGAUUGAAGGCUCUUUCUUGAUCAAGUGGUUGGUGGUGCAUGGCCGUUCUUAGUUGGUGGAGCGAUUUGUCUGGUUAAUUCCGAUAACGAACGAGACUCUACUCUGCUAAAUAGAACGUUGAUAUAUAAAAGUCAGUGCUGACUUCUUAGAGAGACUAACGGCGUUUAGCCGUGUGAGAAAGAGCAAUAACAGGUCUGUGAUGCCCUUAGAUGUCCGGGGCCGCACGCGCGCUACACUGACUGCAGCAACUAGUAUGCUCCUGGUUUGAAAAAACUGGGUAACCUGGUUGAAUUGCAGGCGUGACAGGGAUCAGAGUUUGCAAUUAUCCUCUGUGAACGAGGAAUUCCCAGUAAGCGCAAGUCAUUAGCUUGUGCUGAUUACGUCCCUGCCCUUUGUACACACCGCCCGUCGCUACUACCGAUUGAAUGGUUUAGUGAGGUCUUCGGAUUGGUGCUGAUGGAGUGGUUCUCUGCUCUGUUAGUGCCGAGAAGAUGAUCAAACUUGAUCAUUUAGAGGAAGUAAAAGUCGUAACAAGGU